rfam:Loxodonta africana unplaced genomic scaffold scaffold_43, whole genome shotgun sequence.
GCAGUGGUGGUUCAGUGGUAGAGUCCUCGCCUUCCACGCAGGAGACCUGGGUUCAAUUCCCGGCCAAUGCA